GAUGAAGAACGUAGCGAAAUGCGAUACGUAAUGUGAAUUGCAGAAUUCAGUGAAUCAUCGAAUAUUUGAACGCACAUUGCGCCUGCCAGCACUCUGGCAGGCAUGCCUGUUCGAGCGUCAUUUCAACCAUCAAGCCCUAGGCUUGCGUUGGAGCCCUGCGGCUGCCGCAGGCCCCUAAAAGCAGUGGCGGGCUCGCUAUCACACCGAGUGCAGUAGAUUACUCUUCGCUCAGGGCGUGUGGCGGGUUCCAGCCGUGAAACCCCCUACUUCUCAAGGUUGACUUCGGAUCAGGUAGGAAUACCCGCUGAACUUAAGCAUAUCAAUAAGCGGAGGA
rnacentral:misc_RNA from 1 species